UACCAGCACCCCGAGUGGUCGGGACGUUUAUUGGGCCUAAAGCAUCCGUAGCCGGUUCUACAAGUCUUCCGUUAAAUCCAACUGCUUAACAGGUGGGCUGCGGAAGAUACUAUAGAGCUAGGAGGCGGGAGAGGCAAGCGGUACUCGAUGGGUAGGGGUAAAAUCCGUUGAUCCAUUGAAGACCACCAGUGGCGAAGGCGGCUUGCCAGAACGCGAUCGACGGUGAGGGAUGAAAGCUGGGGGAGCAAACAGG
rnacentral:rRNA from 1 species